rnacentral:lncRNA from 1 species
GGCUGCGGUGAGAAUGAGGAUCACUUCGGAACUCUAGGGGAAUGGGCGUUUUAGGGCGGGAUCUAAAAGUUCUCCAACGUGUUGCGGAGCCUUCGGCCCUGAGAGGAGAGGGUCUUUUGGCUUCUUCAGGGCCGUGUGAAGCUUAGCUUGCUUUAGCAGCCACGUGAUGAUUCAAGUUCGUGGUAGGCGUAGGAGCUGGGCGAAGCGGUAGCGAAGCUCAGGUGAUGACGCAAGUGCGCGGUGAGCGUAGUAGCCCCCUCGGGCAUGCUCCUUGUACAACCCAAGCGAAGAGCUAGUGAGGGCCAGAAUGGAAUAUCGUAUGUAGUGUAUAGAAUCGGAUCUGAAGCUCUUUACUAGGAUUAGAACAAGCGAGGAACGAGUGAUCACAAGCUCCGCUUAAGCGCUCGACAUGCAGUUAGCUCAAAACGUGUUCAUCAUGUGGCCGAGUGAAGCGCACCUGUGUGAAGCAGCCUAGCAUCACUUUAGAUAUGAGCAGAAUGGAUGACUUACAACUGAAAGUAAGUUCUUCGGAUCGUACGACGUAAUGGAGAUCUUGGUCUAGAUCCGGUGGUUCGCAGAAUUCGGGACCUAACGAUGCUCGGUUCGUCACAUGAACGGGAGCGGACGAUUCCCUCGUCUCUCCCUUUUCGGGGAAUGGCUGCAAUCACAAGCAAGUGAUUGGAUGAGUGGGGGGCUCCGAAAGCACAUGCGGGAUAAGCAGGUGUUUCAGGAGACGGUCUAAAAAUGGGUCCGGUCUAGAAUGAAAAGAGAACUCUAAACAAGCUGGAACUAAUCAAGAUCAAUAGGAAGGCUAGGAAUUUUUUGACAAAUUGAGAAAGUUUUUUUUAUUCUCCAACUCGCGCCUUUUUUGAAGACUUUUUGUGGGUGGCGGCCUUGAUUUGGUGCCCCUACAAGAUCCCCGGUAACCUCGGGCUCGGGGGCCUUUGCCUUCAUUUCUUGAAGAGCACGAGGUCACCUCUUCAUCAAUAGAAAGGAACGCCCGAAAAAAAGUUGUGAACUCCUCCAAGAAACAAUAGCGGUAAGUGAUGAGGGGACGGCUUUCUUGUGGUAGUAAUUGCGAAUUAAUUCUAUUAAUUCAGACUAAACUCGAUCACUUGACAGGGGGGUUUAGGAGGUCUUUUUGAGCGCAUUUAUCUCAUAUCGAUAAAGCGGGUUUCGUCUUAUUUUCCGGAAAGCCAGUUAUACUAUUCCACUUUAGCUAAGCUAAUGAUGAAACAGGAUCUGAUCUGGAUUUGUCUGCAGAUGAUGAUGAUGUCCACUCCUGGCUCAAAGAGCUUAACGAAAGGGAACUCUCUAGAUUAAGAAAGAAUUUCCUUCGUAAUUAAGCAGCAUCCGUUAAGUGAGUAGGGGUGCGCCGGACCGUCGACGAAUAAUAGGUACCCCCACCCCAGGCAGAGUUAGUGAGCCGUGUAAUAGGCGACCAUUUCGCGCGGUUCGGGGGGCACUUGAGUCAGCCGCCGCCCGACUGCGUCUUGACCCCUAU